UUUUACCUUAUUUAUUCUCUUACAAAGAAUUAUUCUUAGAUGGGGGUAAUUU
rnacentral:tRNA from 1 species